CCCGGUGUGGUGUAGUUGGUUAGCAUGGUGUUAGGUUUUGAGGAUUUUUUCGGGUCCACCUAUAAGGUGGAUAGAAGUUGACCCGCCUGACAAGACCCAAGUUCGAUCCUUGGUGCCGGAC